rnacentral:rRNA from 1 species
UACGUAGGGGGCUAGCGUUGUCCGGAUUUAUUGGGCGUAAAGCGCGUGUAGGCGGCCAGGUAGGUCGGCUGUGAAAACUCGAGGCUCAACCUCGAGCUGUCGGCCGAAACCAUCUGGCUAGAGUCCGGAAGAGGAGAGUGGAAUUCCCGGUGUAGCGGUGAAAUGCGUAGAUAUCUGGAGGAAUACCGGUGGCGAAGGCGGCAUCCUGGACCAUUACUGACGCUGAGGCGCGAAAGCUAGGGGAGCAAACGGG